rnacentral:rRNA from 1 species
CCUACGGGAGGCUGCAGUCGAGAAUCUUCCACAAUGGACGAAAGUCUGAUGGAGCGAUGUCGCGUGAUGGACGAAGUGCUUCGGUACGUAAACAUCUUUUAUGAGGGACGAAAUUAUUGACGGUACCUCAUGAAUAAGGGGCUCCUAACUCUGUGCCAGCAGGAGCGGUAAUACAGAGGCCCCAAGCAUUACCCGGAAUCAUUGGGCGUAAAGGGUGUCUAGGCGGUUAUGUUAGUCUUUCGUAAAAUCCAGGAGCUCAACUUCUGGCCCGCGAGAGAAACGGCAUAACUUGAGGUCGGGAGAGGUGCGUGGAACUCACGGUGUAGGGGUGAAAUCCGUUGAUAUCGUGGGGAACACCAAAGGCGAAGGCAGCGCACUGGCCCGAAUCUGACGCUAAAGCACGAAAGCCAGGGUAGCGAACGGGAUUAGAUACCCCUGUAGUC